GUUUUUAUAAUACAUCUUUUCUGUGGACAUCUUUCCUGUGGUCCCGAUGUCCACCGAAAAGACUAUGUCCACAGAAAAUGUGUAAGAAACAUACCUUAGUAGGUCUAAGUAGAGAAAGUAGUAAGUAGAAAAAUAGUUGAACCGAGGGCCUACUCCUUUUUUAAAGUUGGUUAGAAAGAGGUUUGAUUUUGGCAACAUUUGAUAUUCUAAGUUAGAGCCUCAAACUUUUUAGUACAUUUUAUAUUCGCAGUAAAAAAAUUAUAAAUCUAAUCAAUGUAAAUAGAGGAAUCAAAACAUUUUUUUUAUUUUUAUUGAUUUCGUUCAGGGGGUUCAACCCUUGGGUCGUGGGUUUGUCCAUAUCUUGCUUCGUUUUAGUUCAUGCUGAUUCAGACGAUUCUGAUAGUUCUCUGGAAAUAUUUUGAAAUAAUCAAAGUCCUUAAAUUUCAUUACAUUGCAUAUUAAAAUUCAUUAGCUAUCUAAAGAAUUAUAUACGAGUAAUAUACCAUGGCUGUAAAAUUAUUAUCAUUCGAAAUUUUGUUUUGUUUCAUAAGUCCACCGAAGGGAUUUUCCUUUCUGUAGACAUUAUUUUAUUUUUUAUUUUCCAAUUAAUGUGAUUAUUUUGACAUGUUAUUUGCGUUUGGGUAUUCGUUUAUAUCAGUGGCUACAUGUGUUCGAUUAUGUUGUCUUAAUAUAUUUUAGCUUACGCUGCAUCACAGCUGUUCAUCUCUCUUGUAGACUAAAUCGUCUCUUCUGUGGUCCGCAAAAAUAUAAAAAUUGCGAUUAUGCCAAAAAUAAGACAUAUUGAUCUCGGUUACAGUGAUUAAAAGAUUGAUAAUCAAUAGCUAAAUAAUAAAUAGUUUGUUUCACACUGAUUCUGAGAUUUUUUUUUUGCUGCACUUUUUUAUUCUCUAUUUGUGUAUGACCCAUAUAAAGGUUUUUUUUUUUCAAAUUUCAAUUACUAGACAUAGUUCUGUCAUAAAUUUCAUUUGUCCAAUGCCGGAUAAAAAGGAUCCCAUUUAGUUUGUAUUAAAUUAUCAUGCCACUUAAUCAUAAUAUAUUACGUAAAAUUAUCAAUUUCACGCCAUCCCGCCUUUUUUACGCAGAGUACUGUUUUAUACUCUGUGCAAAAACAUGGAGGACUGGUCUCCGGCUAAAAAUGUUUAAAAAUACCAAGUCACAAUAAUAUAUCUAGUUGACUUGAUAUUUAUUAGUCUUUCUAGAAAUUACGGUUGCAAUAAUAGUCUCCAAAAUGAUUACUAGUAGUUUUACCUGCUUCUACUCUGGAACCAGAACUGCCAACAAACUUUGUUAAAUAGAGGAAAUCGCAAAAAUAUUGUAAUUUGAUUUACAAAGCAUGUACCUAUUUAAAUAAUACGUAGUAAAACUUAGAAAACGUCGUCAUCUCGUAAUGAUUCAAUGCGAGAUGAGCUCCGAAGUUCAAUUUCACGAAAAACAAAAGAAGAUUCGUUAGAAAAUAUUUUUCAGACAGUAUUAUAUACAUACAUAUAAUAUGUAUGUGAUACAUAUACCUGGAUAGUUUAAAGUGAGCUAAGUUAAUUAAUAAAACUAUAUUUUGCUGUUAUAAAAAAGUUUAAAUGUUUAUGUGAAAUUGUUGCAAGUGUAUUCAAAGCUUUUAAAAAUUGUUGAAGAUUUUAUUGAAAAUGAAUUAUAAUGUGAUAGUUUUUAAACUAGUUAAACGCAUGUAAUUAAUUAUAGAGUUGAUUUUUAUUUUUCAUUUACAUGAUUGUUAAUUUACGUGUUUUUUCGAAGUGAAUUUGGAGCAUGGUGUUAUCGAACCUCGUUCGGAGACGAUAUUAUGAAAUAUUACAAUAAAAAAAUAGACAGUGAAAAA